rnacentral:lncRNA from 10 species
CUGGACUGUGUAGAACAAAUAAUUAGAGAAACAAAGAGAAGUAUCAACCUAUGUUAUCUCCUCCAUCAGAAAGCCCAUGAUAUUGACAUAAAAGUGGCUGUUGCUGUGUUGGACACUUGCUCCCAUCUAUUUUCUUCUCUAGAAUCCACUGAAGCAGAGGUGGAGCCACUGAGGAAGCACAGGCGAGCCCUCCCCAGCGUGUACUCACUGGUCCCCAACAGAAGAACAGCUGCCGCAUCCACUGAGCAGGCUUCCAUUGUGGUGGGUUGUGUCACCCCACAAUGUCACUGUUGCUGAGUCUCCAUCGCCUCUGUGUUGUGGAGCAGUUAGAGACACACAGCAGUGUCUGUGAGUGGCUCUGUUGAAGGACCGUUUUCUAGAUGAGAGGCACAUCUCAACACAGCUCACUGAUCAGACUCAGCAAUUCCAUUCUGCAUCUUUUCUCAUCACCUCCGUGACCACCCAGGACAACCCCAUCAGGGCCCUGUCACCAGGCCCAGUCCAGCUCCAUGAUAACCAAGACACAGGUCCAGAGACAACCAUCCUGCAUCAUGCCUGCAUCUGAACCCCCUUGGUGGGUAGUGACCAGCAUAACAUGGAAGAAGCCAGGGCAGCAUGCGGCCAGCUGCUCUGCAGCCCCAGAUGGCUCCUGGGCCUUGGGAAGUCAUUCUUAAAGGGGAAGCUGGUCACUUUGAGGUCCCUGAAGGGAAGGGUGAAUGUGCAUCCCAACAGCCCUGGCAGCCAGCAGCAUGCCAUACAUCUUCUCACCCAACCUGUGUGACAGAGGGCCCCUCCUGGGGCACAAGUCCCAUACCUAAAGCAUCCUGUCCCAGUUGGACCUCAUCCUGAGCCCUGGGAGGGGAGGGGCAUCAUGGGCCCCCCUGCAGCAGCCAGGAUUACCACCCAGGGGACUUGGCCUUCUGUGGCCCUGGCCAGACUUAGAAUUUGGCCCAAGACAAGACAAACUCACUCGGAGCAG